CAGCACCUCAAGUGGUCAGGAUGAUUAUUGGGCCUAAAGCAUCCGUAGCCGGCGCUGUAAGUUUUCGGUUAAAUCUGUACGCUCAACGUACAGGCUGCCGGGAAUACUGCAGCGCUAGGGAGUGGGAGAGGUAGACGGUACUCGGUAGGAAGGGGUAAAAUCCUUUGAUCUAUUGAUGACCACCUGUGGCGAAGGCGGUCUACCAGAACACGUCCGACGGUGAGGGAAGAAAGCUGGGGGAGCAAACCGGAUUAGAUACCCGAGUAGCC
rnacentral:rRNA from 1 species